GACGAACGCUGGCGGCGGGCUUAACACAUGCAAGUCGGACGCUCCGGUUUUGGCCGGGGCGUGGCGCACGGGUGCGUAACACGUAGGUAACCUGCCCUCGAGUGGGGAAUAACCCCGGGAAACCGGGGCUAAUACCGCAUACAGACUGGGAGCUGCAUGGCUCUCAGUUGAAAGCCGUGCACCGGUGACGGUGCGGGCGCUCGGGGAUGGGCCUGCGGCGGAUUAGGUAGUUGGUGGGGUAAGGGCCUACCAAGCCUGCGAUCCGUAGCUGGUCUGAGAGGAUGAUCAGCCACACUGGCACUGAGACACGGGCCAGACUCCUACGGGAGGCAGCAGUGAGGAAUUUUGCGCAAUGGAGGCAACUCUGACGCAGCCACGCCGCGUGCAGGAGGACGCCCCUACGGGGUGUAAACUGCUUUUCUGCGAGAAGAAGGCCUUGCUUUGGGCAGGGUGUGACGGUAUCGCAGGAAUAAGCACCGGCUAACUCCGUGCCAGCAGCCGCGGUAAUACGGAGGGUGCAAGCGUUGUCCGGAAUUAUUGGGUGUAAAGGGUGUGCAGGCGGGGCGGUAAGUCAGGGGUGAAAGUCUACGGCUCAACCGUAGGAUGGCCUUUGAUACUGUCGUCCUUGAGUCCCGGAGAGGCCAUUAGAAUUCGUGGUGUAGCGGUGAAAUGCGUAGAUAUCACGAGGAAUACCGGAAGCGUAGGCGGAUGGCUGGACGGCGACUGACGCUCAGGCACGAAAGCGUGGGGAGCGAACAGGAUUAGAUACCCUGGUAGUCCACGCUGUAAACGAUGGAUGCUCGGUGUUCGACUCCGUUAGCGGGUUGAGUGCCCAAGUUAACGCGAUAAGCAUCCCACCUGGGGAGUACGCUCGCAAGAGUGA
rnacentral:rRNA from 1 species